UACGUAGGGGGCAAGCGUUGUCCGGAAUUAUUGGGCGUAAGCGCGCGCAGGCGGCUUUGUAAGUUGGUGUUUAAGCUCGGAGCUCAACUCCGAUACCGCAUCGAAAACUGGCAAGGCUUGAGUGCAGAAGAGGAAAGUGGAAUUCCACGUGUAGCGGUGAAAUGCGUAGAGAUGUGGAGGAACACCAGUGGCGAAGGCGGGUCUCUGGGCAGUAACUGACGCUGAGGAGCGAAAGCGUGGGGAGCGAACAGG
rnacentral:rRNA from 1 species